UAAACAUAUUUUUGGGGAAAUGUUUUGUGCUUUCUUCAAAAUAAAUGGCACUUGUUUUAACAUGUUGUUUUCAAACGCGGUGAAAUUCAUCCAUUUGUUCAUCUGACUAACUUCAUUUUCCAAAUACUGAUUAGUGUUCAUGUAGAACUGAGGAAACCAGCCCUAUACAAGCACAGCACUUCUUCUCUUUACAGGUUUUAGAUACAGAGACAGCAGAACAGCAUGGCCACUGCGAAUGAAAAAGACACAGUGUGGAUCGGGUUCAUGGAUAUCGUUCCGGUCAUCGGGAAGGUUAAAGAGGCAGUGGAGCUGGUGCUGGCUCUGUACGAAGGGAAUAAAGCGGUGAUAAAGGAGAAAGAGAAGGCCGUUGAAAACAUUGUGAAAUUUUGAUUUUAAGGAUGUAAUCAUCUCUUAUGAGGCUCAGAGUUCCCGAAGUGAAUUAUUUUCAUACAGCAGCAUGGUCUAUCAUGUGUUAUUCUUUGCAUACAAUAUGGUAUAAUUAUUGCAUGUCACAGUGCACCAUCAUGCCAGUCUAUGUCCAGUCUAUGUCCAGUCCAUUUAAUUUUUUUAUCUUUCCAUAACUAGAAGAUGACUAAAUCAGCAGCAUUUCCAGCUGAUAAAUCAGCAGCAUUUCCAGCUGAUAAAACAGCAGCAGCUGCAGCUGAAUUUUCUGGACUCGGAAAUGUGAGAGAGGUCAGAAUGGAAAUGGUUAUUGUACAUCUGGCCCAAGCUUUCACAAGGAGAAGGUCACAAAGAGGCGAACAUGUCUUCAACAAUAACAUUCUUAAAUUUCAUUGCAAAGUGCUAGAUGAUUUUAUACAAGAACAAAAUAUUGAUAAUCUACAAAGAUAUAAUCCGCAGGAAAUGGAUACAUUACGCAGACAGACACUUACCCAAAAUGCAGAAGAAGAAAUUCAGACAAACAUGGUGGUUCACUUUGGUGAGGAUGAAUUCUAUGUGAAUGCAAAUGCAGUGAUAUAUGGUGUAUAUUGCAGAGCACUGCGUGGUGCUUUGUUAAAUGUGCUGCGCCACAUAAACCCAGGUGAGGUGGCAGAAGAGAAGAGACAUUGGGUGAAUUUUGUCAUAAAUACUAUGAAUAACUAUGAAAUCUAUGUGGACCAAAUGGCAAAGGUCCGUUGGAUUGCCAAUAUAGAGACUAGACGGGCCCGGUUUGAACGGGUAAAACAGGAAGUUGUGACCAUGUAUAACACAGAUCGUGGGUAUGACUGGUGCAUUAGCAUUCUGCAUGAAGUUGCAGGUUUGUUUGAACAUAGACAGUGAGUUCAUUUCUCCUGUUCAGGGUUGCCAGGUUUCCUUUCAAAAUUUCCAUCUUAACUACAUCCUAAAUCCCACAGACCUGAAACUAGCUGAAAGUUUGGACACUGGAAGAAACAAAGUUCACUGUGGUGCACACAUAUUUGUAUGUUUGCAAUGUUUCCAACACACUUAGGGUCAGAGUUUUGUCACCCAUAGCCUGUUACAACUGUUAUUUUUUAUUUUAUUUAUUUCAUUUAUUUGUACAGGGACAACGUACAACAACAGUGUCAUGCCAGAGUUAGCUAUAAAGCUAAUUUGUAUCUGCAAUCCCUGGGCAGGAUGUUCUUACAAAAUUACAAUAUUAAGUGACAAACAAUACAAUAAAUAUUACACAUACAACAUCACAUCAUACUACAUUAAAUUACAAAUCCAAGUCAAUGAUCACAUAUCUGAUUUUCCUUAAGCCAUACUUUAAGCAUAGUUGUAAAAAUACUAAGUGUUGCACACUCUCUAAUAUAAACAGGUCUUAAAUUCCAUCUUUCUGCUGCUCUAACCGAAAAAGCUGAUUGUCCAAAAAUAGUUUCUUAAAUUUAGUUGAACAGUCACCUCUAACUGAUGACCUAGUCUGCCUGAUAUUGUCCUUUCAGAAAGUCACACAUUGUUUAAGAGGUGGUGGUGCAAGAUUAUGAAAUACUUUGUACAUUAAACAGACAUCAGCAAAUAAAAAAAAAAUGUUAAAACGUCAAUCAUUUAUAAUAUAGUGAUGAUAACUUCUUGGCUUUUUAGCUAAGAUUUUCACAGCUUGUUUAUAAAUAGUAUAUAAUGGUUUUAACGUAGUUAAAAUGCAUCCACAUCUGUGUGUUUGUGGUCUGCGAGGAAAAUCGGUUGUUUCAAUAAAUUCAAUUGUAAUAGCCUUCUCUAUUAAAUCUGAACCAGUACAGAACCGGAGGAAAAGUUGAAGGGUGUUCAGAUCAAUUUCAGCAAUGUACCUUUUCAGAUAGUGUGCAACUGUUGUCUGGGGUGCUGUCAUAUCAUUUGGGAAGUGUAACAGCUCCUUCACUGCUUUUGCAGUUGUUUUUUUCUGUUUAACUGUACAAUUCAAACCAUCUAGUGGUAGCAUACUAGCUACAUGCACCAUAAUGGGACGCCAGCACUCAAUCACAUACAUUGGGGCCUGUAUUAUGGCUUUGUGCCCCAUUUGUGCUAGCAGAGGAACCAAACAGUCCUUGGUAGGCACCUGUUUGCACUCAUGUGCAUCAAGAACAUCAAACAGUUCAUCAGAGUCAACAGAGUCAAAGUCUUUCAAAACACUCAUAAUAACAGCUCUUUCUUGUUCAGACAUGUACAGCAAAAGGGAAUCUUUUAAGCUAAUGGUUGUUGUGCCAUAAAGUACUUCUUCCAGGAAUGGUGUUGCCAGUUUCACUGGUAAGUAUUUAUCUUGCUUCCAUCCUAAAACAAACCCUCUAGCUACUGCUUGCCACUCCUCACAUUGAUAAUCAUGUCUGAUGAAAGGCACUUUCACAUCCACCCCCAGAAUGCAGUGGUCAUAAAAAUCAGACCAAAAUUCUGUAAGGCUAUCUCGAAAUACACCAAUUCCUUCCCCCAUUUCAAGUUCUCCAUUUGGUAAAUGCAUCUUGAUGUUAACCUCUGUACUAAUAACUUCUGGAUUCUUAAAAGCACAGAUUAGGUCAGCGAGACAGUGCCCUCUCCUAACAAUCAGUAUUACAACAGCAGGUUGUGGUUCAUGACUUCUUUGAGGUAGAACAUCAGUGGCCCCCAAAGUGAUUUCAGCAGGCAAUGUUUCAUCCAUAAAUGGAGAAGGCAGGUCAUCUUCUCUAGCUGCAUUUUGGGUUUCAGGAUGUGGUUCAUUCAGAUGUGGAUCUUCAAUAACACCCUCACUCAGAAAAAUCACUGUUUCAGGGUCAAGAAUUUCUUCAGUUAUUUGUUGUGGGGAAUCAUCCCAUGUGUCAUUAAUUUCCCUGUCUUCACUAAUGGAAGCUCUAGUUGAGUGAGGGUCAGUAACCAAGUCAGAUUCCCUGGUUCCUUGAUUUUCACCAGUGAGAUCUAUAACGUUACUGAUGUCUUCUAAAGACUGCCUAUCUGAUUUUAUUUUGGCACACAGAUAGAGUUUUAGCAUUCGGACUUUGCUUUCACUAUACAGUUGAUCUACAGUUUUGGAUAUUUCAGUGUGCAUCUGAAAGCACUCAAUAUCAGUUGUAUAGAGUGACAUUUUUUUUUUUUUUUUUCCUUUGAAUAACCAUAUGGGAAAUUUUUUUUUUAAAAAUUCGGCCUCAGGUUUCAAAUCGUUCACUGUUUUGUUUAUGUCAGCACAGAGAUGUCUUGUUCCUCCACCAUUUAUUUAUCUCACUUGUUUGAACCGCUGCUCUUUCUCAUCAAAAUCCAUCCUUUCUAGCUCAAUGCAUCAUUCUUUCUUUCUUUUCGGCACUUAUGUUUUCUACCCAUGAAAAACUUUCCUUUGCAGGUACACUCUCAUUCCUAGAAGACAGUCUAUGUCGUAGUCUCAACAGUAUGGAUUCUUUCCUGGACUGUGCCUGAUGUGGUGCACUGGCUUGUCUACAGAAGGCCACAGUAGAGAUUCUGUCUCCAGCUUUGGGGAUGUACUUUGCCCGGUCACUGUCUGUCAUCAUAGGGAUGACAUUUUCAUCAAUCUAAAAAUAUUAUAUAUAUGUAUACACAUUAGUUACAAAACCAAAUGAUGUUCCUUAGUGUGGCCAGAUGGCAGAGGGAAGGUAUGACUUAAGUGAACUUAAAUGAAUUAAGGACCCAAAGGGUUAACAAUGCCUGACUACACCACCCUGGGAAUCUCACCCAAGGAAUUUAUUAAAGAUACUAUACACAGGUCCCCCACUCUGUGGCAAAAUAGACAAUGGAGACAGAGGUACUGGUAUAAAAAUAGAACAAUUUAUUUUGAAUUUAAUGACAACAGAAAUUGAAAACGCAUUCACUGAAAAGAAACUGGGACCACAAUUACACAAAUGGUCCAGGAAAGACAACAAUGAGGAGCUGCAGCCUGGGCUACAUGACCGGCCGUACAGGCCUUUACUCUAAGUACACUGCACACUCACACCAAUCCAAAAGCCCCAGUGCACACGGCAAAUCACAGCACUCCGUGAGGAAACACCAUCACCACCUAAAGAAAGACUUCAGCCCUGCUCUCCACACACACACACUCAAACACAAACAAAAAUAAUUAACACAAGAUUUAGGCAGGCAACACAGCUGACACUUAAUGCCUGCCAAACACACAAUAACAGAGUUAACCAAAUUAAAUCAAAACACAACUGGACCAUAUAAAUGCAAAAAAGCACUCCCACAUCACUCAACGGAUUCACAACCGCAUUAAAAUGGAAUUCAUGAAUGUUCAACCAGGAACAAGACAGCGGUGACGUCACUGCAUGCCCCAGAUAACAGGCACAGGGACCCGGGAGUCAGUAGAAGUGAAGAUAAUACUCCAUAGAUGCAAUGCGAAGUAUAGUUUCGAUUUAAUCACUCAGCCGAUGGAGCUCAGGAUACGCGAGGAAAAUAACUCAGCAUAUACAGUCGUCAUCCGCCCAUACACAGCAUUAUAUUGACUGAAUGUGGUCGCAUAUACAGAUGCGAGACACACGCCGCCACCAACAAUAAGUCAAAGCCACAAUAUCUGCAGCCACGGAGAUGACUACAGUUGCCGCAAUCGUCCUGCAAAGCCAAAAUCACAGCAGCCCUCAGUCCAUGAACCAGAAGCGAAACGGGAUCCCAGGAAGUGACGCUCGUCUAAGUCACACACGCAUGUUGUUUAUAUACACGUAAUCCAACCACCUCUAUCGGCCCCAACCAAUGAAUAAACUAAUGCCUAAUGAUGAACUUACUGAUCUCUACCUGCCACAUUAGCAUAGUUACUAUGUGGCAAAUGCAACCAUUUAUCUUUGUGUAUUAGUAAACUGCUUUGCUAUCAUUCACUGUUCAUAUUAACAUCCUCUUUAACCCUUGAUCACUGUACAAUCAAAUUUGUCCAGAAACACUAUAGCUGUUUUAAAGAAAU
ensembl:lncRNA